rnacentral:pre_miRNA from 1 species
UCUUACGGGUGAGCAAAGAAAGUGGUUUCCUGAGACUGAACCCACCUCUGGUGAAGAUGCUGUGAA